rnacentral:rRNA from 1 species
GCCUAAAGAGAAGCUUGCGGCUGAUUAGCUUGUUGGUGAGGUAAUAGCUCACCAAGGCGACGAUCAGUAUCUGGUUUGAGAGGACGAUCAGACACACUGGAACUGAGACACGGUCCAGACUCCUACGGGAGGCAGCAGUAGGGAAUUUUCCGCAAUGGGCGAAAGCCUGACGGAGCAAUACCGCGUGAGGGAUGACGGCCUAUGGGUUGUAAACCUCUUUUUUCAGGGAGGAAUAAAUGACGUGUACCUGAAGAAUAAGCAUCGGCUAACCCCGUGCCAGCAGCCGCGGUAAGACGGAGGAUGCAAGUGUUAUCCGGAAUCACUGGGCGUAAAGCGUCUGCAGGUGGUCCAAUAAGUCAACUGUUAAAUCUUGAGGCUCAACCUCAAAACCGCAGUCGAAACUAUUAGACUAGAGUAUAGUAGGGGUAAAGGGAAUUUCCAGUGGAGCGGUGAAAUGCGUAGAUAUUG